GGAACAUACAAUCAGGCUCCUUAGCAUAAAGAGAUGCCAGGGGAGAAAGUGCCACUCCGAGCAGUCGUCUGCCUGGAUUACUGUGAACAAGAAACCAAAGACCAAACAUCUCCGUUUUCUCAGUCCAGGUUUCUGGUACCUGGGGAUUUCGUUCAAGUCGUGAUGCCUGAAGGACCAGAUGAUACACUGAGGAUAUGCAGCUUCAUGAUGUUUUACUUAGUGCUGUUGGAACAAAGUGUGGCUGUCUUAUAGUUUCUCCUGAAUUUAUGAAUUCAACUCACUGAUGCCUUCCCUUCCCUCUACAUCCUGGAUUUCUUCUCUGAUCAACAGUUUCCACUGAUCUGCAGGUUACAUGGGCCAUACAGAAUGAAUAAAGGAUUUUACACAAGAAUGAUAAAUGGUGAUAUUUGCACAGAAGGGAGCCUUCAAGCAACUGUGUGGAGGUUGGACUGGUGGAGAAUGAGACAAGAGGUCCUCUGGUUAUGCAGCUAUUGUAGUUUUUCAGGGGACCGCACUUGAUUCUCAGACUGAGGAGGAGAGAGAGAGACAAGACUGAAGCUGGAGGAGCAGCUGCUGGUCCACCCUGCUGCCAAGCCUUGGCAGCAGGUUCCUGGGGAAGCAGUAGGCACCUGGUUCACACAGGACCAGCACAGCUGGCCCAGCUUUUGACUGGCAGAGCGUGGCUUCCUUCGUCACCAAAGUGACUGGCCCUGUGAUCUUGCUACAGCCUGCUGAAACCGAGAGGGACACAGUGAAAGCAGUACACCUCAGCGGAGCAGGUGCAAGUCACAUUUCACUAAUGAAC
rnacentral:lncRNA from 1 species